UGAAUGAGCUCGCACUCGCGGAACCUCUGCAGCCCGAACACCUCGCUGUAGGGCUGGAACGGCGUGGACUUCACGUCCGCGAGCUCGGUCCUGGUCCCAAUGAUGUCCCCAGCCACGUUCUUCGCAAGGUUCUGGUCCAGCGAGUCCAACUCGAACUGCAGGUACUCGGCGGGCUUCCCUAGCCCAAAUGGGUCGAAUCCGUAGUCUCCGACAAGGCUCCCAUCCAGGUACUCGGGCGCCUUGGCGCCCGGAUACCACAGGGGCCUAUCGGAGCUAGAGCCCGACCCCCUGGAAACUUUCUUCGGGGCGGCGGCUUUCUUCUUGC
rnacentral:lncRNA from 1 species